rnacentral:rRNA from 1 species
ACGCUCGACACCUACGGGAGGCAGCAGGUGGGGAAUAUUGGGCAAUGGGCGCAAGCCUGACCCAGCAACGCCGCGUGAAGGAAGAAGGCCCUCGGGUUGUAAACUUCUUUUGUCAGGGACGAAGCAAGUGACGGUACCUGACGAAUAAGCCACGGCUAACUACGUGCCAACAGCCGCGGUAAUCUGAGCGGGCUGGCAAGGC